rnacentral:rRNA from 1 species
UANGCGNAGGAAAAGAANCUAACAAGGAUUCCCCUAGUAACUGCGAGUGAAGCGGGAAAAGCUCAAAUUUAAAAUCUGGUGGUCUUUGGCCGUCCGAGUUGUAAUUUAGAGAAGCGUCUUCCGCGCUGGACCGUGCACAAGUCUCCUGGAAUGGAGCGUCAUAGAGGGUGAGAAUCCCGUCUUUGGCACGGACACACCAGGGCUUUUGUGAUGCGCUCUCGAAGAGUCGAGUUGUUUGGGAAUGCAGCUCAAAAUGGGUGGUGAACUCCAUCUAAAGCUAAAUAUUGGCGAGAGACCGAUAGCGAACAAGUACCGUGAGGGAAAGAUGAAAAGCACUUUGGAAAGAGAGUGAAACAGUACGUGAAAUUGUUGAAAGGGAAACGCUUGAAGUCAGUCGCGUCGACCGAGACUCAGCCUUGCCUUGGCUUGGUGUACUUCUCGGCUGACGGGUCAGCAUCAAUUUUGCCCCUUGGAUAAUGGUGAGGGAAAUGUGACACCUUUACGGUGUGUUAUAGUCUCUUGUCGCAUGCAAGGGUCGGGAUUGAGGAACUCAGCACGCGCCCUUGGGCGUCGGGGCUUUUGCCCACGAUACGUGCUUAGGAUGUUGGCAUAAUGGCUUUAAACGACC